rnacentral:rRNA from 1 species
GUGGGGAAUAUUGCACAAUGGGCGCAAGCCUGAUGCAGCCAUGCCGCGUGUAUGAAGAAGGCCUUCGGGUUGUAAAGUACUUUCAGCGGGGAGGAAGGUGUUGUGGUUAAUAACCGCAGCAAUUGACGUUACCCGCAGAAGAAGCACCGGCUAACUCCGUGCCAGCAGCCGCGGUAAUACGGAGGGUGCAAGCGUUAAUCGGAAUUACUGGGCGUAAAGCGCACGCAGGCGGUCUGUCAAGUCGGAUGUGAAAUCCCCGGGCUCAACCUGGGAACUGCAUUCGAAACUGGCAGGCUAGAGUCUUGUAGAGGGGGGUAGAAUUCCAGGUGUAGCGGUGAAAUGCGUAGAGAUCUGGAGGAAUACCGGUGGCGAAGGCGGCCCCCUGGACAAAGACUGACGCUCAGGUGCGAAAGCGUGGGGAGCAAACAGGAUUAGAUACCCCGGUAGUCC